GACGAACGCUGGCGGCGUGGAUUAGGCAUGCAAGUCGAGCGACGGACCUUCGGGUUACGGAGCGGCGAACGGGUGAGUAACACGUGAAUAACCUACCCUCUCAUUCCGGAUAAUUGGCUGAAAAGCCUUGUAAUACGGGGGAGGUUGCGCUUGGGGCAUCCCAUGGCGUAACGAACAAGCAAUUGGUGCGAGGCGGGGUUCGCGGAUUAUCAGCUAGUUGGUGAGGUAACGGCUCACCAAGGCUACGACGAUUAGCUGGUCUGAGAGGAUGGUCAGCCACAUUGGAACUGAGAUACUGUCCAGACUCCUACGGGAGGCUGCGGUCGAGAAUCUUGGGCAAUGCACGAAAGUGUGACCCAGCGACGCCGCGUGCA
rnacentral:rRNA from 1 species